AGUGAACGCUGGCGGUAGGCCUAACACAUGCAAGUCGAACGGCAGCACAGUAAGAGCUUGCUCUUACGGGUGGCGAGUGGCGGACGGGUGAGGAAUACAUCGGAAUCUACUUUUUCGUGGGGGAUAACGUAGGGAAACUUACGCUAAUACCGCAUACGACCUACGGGUGAAAGCAGGGGAUCUUCGGACCUUGCGCGUUUGAAUGAGCCGAUGUCGGAUUAGCUAGUUGGCGGGGUAAAGGCCCACCAAGGCGACGAUCCGUAGCGGGUCUGAGAGGAUGAUCAGCCACACUGGAACUGAGACACGGUCCAGACUCCUACGGUAGGCAGCAGUGGGGAAUAUUGGACAAUGGGGGCAAGCCUGAUCCAGCCAUACCGCGUGAGUGAAGAAGGCCUUCGGGUUGGAAAGCCAUUUUGUUGGGAAAGAAAAGCAGCAGGGUAAUACCCCGCUGUUCUGACGGUACCCAAAGAAUAAGCACCGGCUAACUUCGUG
rnacentral:rRNA from 1 species